AGGGUGGGGUUUAGGGUUUAGGGUUUAGGGUUUAGGGUUUAGAGUUUAGAGUUUAGGGUUUAGGGUUUAGGGUUUAGAGUUUAGAGUUUAGGGUUUAGGGUUUAGAGUUUAGGGUUUAGGGUUUAGGGUUUAGAGUUGAGAAAUGAGGUUUUGCGGAUAAGAUUUCAAAUUUUGAAAAAUAAAAAAAUUAAAAUUUUCAAAAGAUAAAUUUAGAAAGGUGCUAUUUUGGUCAUUUUAGUUUUUGAGUGCUAUUUUUGUAAUAUAAACUUAGAAAUGUGCUAUUUUGGAGAUUUACCCUUAAUAAAUCUACUUAUGAAAAUUGUUUGGACUCUUUCCUUUUAUUAAAUUUUGGUCUUCCCCUAUAUAUUAUAACAAGUAACAACAUGUGACCAACAUGUGUGCAAAUCGGUUUACAUUAUUUAAAUUUGUACCAUU
rnacentral:lncRNA from 1 species